rnacentral:rRNA from 1 species
CAGUAGCCGCGGGAAUACAGAGGGUGCGAGCGUUAAUCGGAUUUACUGGGCGUAAAGCGUGCGUAGGCGGCUUUUUAAGUCGGAUGUGAAAUCCCCGAGCUUAACUUGGGAAUUGCAUUCGAUACUGGUUAGCUAGAGUGUGGGAGAGGAUGGUAGAAUUCCAGGUGUAGCGGUGAAAUGCGUAGAGAUCUGGAGGAAUACCGAUGGCGAAGGCAGCCAUCUGGCCUAACACUGACGCUGAGGUACGAAAGCAUGGGGAGCAAACAGGAUUAGAUACCCCGGUAGUCCCUGUCUCUUAUAC